CACGAGAGUAAUUGUGGGGAGGAUACGGACACGCCUGGUGCCCAAAUCGAUGACGUAUGGCGCGUAGCUGAGAGUCGAGUGAAUUUGUUUCGUUUGUUUAGUUGCCGAGCUCAGCUCAUGAGGUAAAAUGCAUUUAGUAAAAUGUGUUGUGUUUAGAAAUAGCUUUUGACAGUGUACAGUCUUUAACCACAUACCCCUGAUCAAGUAUGUACUCAACACUAAUAUUGGCAGCCUUGACAAGAUGACAAAGGAGUUUUUUACUUGUCAGGAAAUGGAUUUUACUUCAAGUUCCUGACCCCAAGCACACAUUGACAUCCCCCAACACCCACAAAAGUCCAUGAGUGCCGAUCGAAGGAUCUCAAGGAUCUGGAAGGAUUUUGUACAUUUGGAAGACAAAACAUUGGAUGAUUAUAUUCUCAUAUGACUCUCAUUAACUAUUUUCAAGCAGAGGCUUAACUAAUCUCAAACAGGGUAUUCCUACAUGGCUGCUCUAAUGUGGAUUUCCCAGUACAGCCCGUACUGUCAGAAAAAAGCUUCCAAAAGAGUUCUUCGGCUGCCCCGUGGGAGGGGAAACCUUUGAUUAACCCUUUCUGGGUUCCACAGAAAAACCUUUUCACAUAGGGUCUUAUUUUUACAGAGGCUUCUAUUUAGUUCAGAAAACAAUUUCUCUAUAUGUGUACAAUGAGUAAAAUCUGUGGCAGGCUGUCUAAACAAUUGUUUCAAUUGGUGUUCCUCACGGUUCAUUUCUCUGGCCAACCUCUGUAUUCAUCAAUACUGUUUUUCUUGUUAUCCACCAUUGUGCAAAUGAGACUAUCUUGUAUACAUCUGGCCCCUCACUGAACUCUGUGCUGGCCACACUUCAAAAUGUCUGGGCCUCAUGGGGUUUAAUGUUGGCCACCCCAUGGUAAAACACAGAUUUUCUGCCUCCUUCAGUAGGCUACCAAUCUGCAUUUCUUCAAUUGUAACUAAGUAACAUUUUUGAAAUUGUUGCUUGUUAUGGUUAUAUUAUUGCUCAUUGUAAAUACUGUAUUUCAUUUCAAUUUACUCAAAGUAAACACUGCAGCAUCAGAUUUGAGAAUAUUUUACUUGAAUGUAGCAAUCCUUUCAUGCUUUCAGACUCUGUACCUUGUCAUGGCUGACUGAUAAACUCAGAUUUUAACUAGUUCAACA
ensembl:lncRNA